GCUGGGCAUGGUGGCGCGUGCCUGUAGUCCCAGCUACUUGGGAGGCUGAGGCAGGAGAAUCGCUUGAACCCAGGAGGUGGAGCUUGCAAGGAGCGAGACCGCGCCAUUGCACCCCAGCCUGGGCGACAGAGCGAGACUCUGUCUCCA
rnacentral:SRP_RNA from 1 species